rnacentral:lncRNA from 1 species
AAUUUUUCGUAAGGGAAGGACGGCAAAUCAUGACUUUUAGGGUUAACAAGCAGCUAUUUUAUUGAAAAAUCCUUUCUAAAAAUUUUGAAAUACUUUUAAUCUCUUUAGAUUGAUAUUCAAGAUAAGUGAAUCCUUGGCCAGGAAGAAAUGACAACAGUAACGACAGCUUUUACACUAGGUUGGGCCCCCUAGGUUCAACCGACACACUAACGCGAUAAUGGUGGAGAAAAAACA